AUUAUUUGUCAGUCUGCCCUGCUCAUAAGGUCAUGUAAUAAGUCAAGUUCUGAAAGUUAUGUCCAUUCUCUUUGUCUAGUUCCAGUUGGAGGCAAUAUCAAAAUCCAGGUGGAAUAUUUCUACAGAGCUGACUACAAGGCGACUGCUGCCAAACUGGAUUGCCAGAUAAGUCGGGGAACCUUCCCUUUCGUCACAUGGCUCCACGGUGGCUCCGUCCUGCCGUCAGACUCCCAAACAGACUUUCACAUCUCUCAAACCGCCCCUCCCUUUGCCUUCGCGGACCAAGGACGAACCCUGAUAAUAGCCGAGCUCAGACCAGAGGUUUUUGGACUUUACCGAUGCAAGGUUAGAGACAGCUACGAUGACACUGGUCCCUGGCUGGAGAGUGAAGAGGUGUUGGUGCAAAUCAAAGGUUCCUUAAGCCCCUGUCCCAAGCCCCUCCCAGCUCCACCCACCGCAACACUGUCAAAUGUUUCUACACCCACCAUCGAGUCCAUCUCCAUUGCAUUCUGCUGCUUCGUCUUGCUCGCUCUGGUUGUGGGUGUGGCCUGUGUUUACAGGAUGGUCGACCAAAGACAAGAUGUACAAGCCGCAGGGACAAAUUUAGUUGAUACGUCCAUGUCUGCACAGCCAUCCACUACGGGAGCCAUGCCAGAAAAUAACCAACAGAUGUUUGAAGUUACAAUAUGA
rnacentral:lncRNA from 1 species